UCACAGAAAGACUUCUACAAAAUUCUUGGCGUUCCUAAAAAUGCCCCGCAGAAAGAUGUUAAAAAAGCAUAUUAUGAACUAGCUAAAAAAUACCAUCCAGACACAUCGAAAAACGAUCCAGAUGCCUCUCGAAAAUUCAAGGAAGUAUCAGAAGCGUACGAGAUACUCGGCGAAGCGAGCAAGCGGAAGCAGUACGACACGUGGG